rnacentral:tRNA from 2 species
GGGUCGAUGGCCGAGUCUGGUUAAAGGCGACAGUCUGUAAAACUGUUCUAUUUUGUUCGCAGGUACCCUACGGGAAGCCGCUAUCGCGUCUACAAAUCCUGCUCGACCCA